UAUGACAAAAGGGCACCAGCAGGCUAUGUUCGCAAUGUUUUGCAAGCUUUUCCAGCCUCUAAUGCUCCUGAGGACAACAUUGUCUCUGUCUUUAGUGAUGAUAAUGUGCAUGCAUGUUCUAUCAUGUAAGCAACUAAUUUUAAUUAGUCUUAUGAAUUUCUGAAAAAUGGGUUGCUUUUCUUUUUGUAAUCAAGACCAGUUCCUUGUAAUAAUAUAUGUUUGCAUUGCCUUUUCUUUUUAUAUGUGUGUUUGAGUUGAUGGGAGAUGAAAAAAAAUAAAUUUGAAUCCAG
rnacentral:misc_RNA from 1 species